rnacentral:rRNA from 1 species
GACAGAGGUGCCGAGCGUUAGCGGAAUCAGCUGGGCUUAAAGCGUGUGUAGGCGGAUCGUUAAGAUGCCUUGUGAAAUCCCACGGCUCAACCGUGGAACUGCUUGGCAUACUGGCGAAUCUUGAGCCACUUAGGGGACUACCGGGAACAAAUGGUGGAGCGGUGAAAAUGCGUAGAUAUCAUUGGAACGCCAAUGGUGAAAACAGGUAGCUGGGAGUGCUGCUGACGCUGAGACACGAAAGCCAGGGAGGCAAACGGG